AGUAAUACUUAGGAAUCUGCCCAGUAGUGGGGGAUAGCUCGGGGAAACUCGAAUUAAUACCGCAUACACCCUACGGGGAAAAGGGGGCGCUUGCGCUCUCGCUAUUGGAUGAGCCUAAGUCGGAUUAGCUAGUUGGUGGGGUAAAGGCCUACCAAGGCGACGAUCUGUAGCUGGUCUGAGAGGAUGAUCAGCCACACCGGGACUGAGACACGGCCCGGACUCCUACGGGAGGCAGCAGUGGGGAAUAUUGGACAAUGGGGGGAACCCUGAUCCAGCCAUGCCGCGUGUGUGAAGAAGGCCUUUUGGUUGUAAAGCACUUUAAGCAGUGAAGAAGACUCUAUGGUUAAUACCCAUAGACGAUGACAUUAGCUGCAGAAUAAGCACCGGCUAACUCUGUGCCAGCAGCCGCGGUAAUACAGAGGGUGCAAGCGUUAAUCGGAAUUACUGGGCGUAAAGCGAGCGUAGGUGGCUUAAUAAGUCAGAUGUGAAAUCCCCGGGCUUAACCUGGGAACUGCAUCUGAUACUGUUAGGCUAGAGUAGGUGAGAGGGAGGUAGAAUUUCAGGUGUAGCGGUGAAAUG
rnacentral:rRNA from 1 species